ensembl:lncRNA
GCUGUUAGUUCUAAGGCCUAGGGAUGUCUAGAGCACUGGGCUGUGAUAUGAUAUGGAGCUGAAGGGAAGAUGAGCACCUGGAGGAAAACUGACCAGGCUGUAGGCAGCACAUGAUGGAUGGAUGGGCUGAGACAGCGAGAUCGCAUAAGCUGCAUUCCCCUGGGAAACCAGACUGAAAACACAUAAGCAGAGGGGCAGUCUGACAACAAGGCAUCUGACAUGGAAGUGUGGAUGAAGCAAAGGUGUGUCACUGAAUUCCUCCAUGUGGAAAAGAUGGCACCCACUGACAUUCACUGAAGCUUGAUGUAUGUUUAUGGAGACCAAACGGCACAGGACAAAAAUGUUGGGAAAAAAAAAAAAAUCACCUGCCCCUGAGAAGAAUCCUCUGCAAAGUCAGACUGAGACCAAAGGGUGUGAUCUGACGUGCUUCCAGAUCUUCUGAGAAGAAAAAUGAAGAUAAAAGUAUACUGAUAUGGCUGUAGAAGAAUUAGUCCAAACUUAGUGAUUGACUAAUUCCCCUGGGAUCAAAGAGACCUGUAAUGUGUUAACGUUACAUGAACUGGAGCAGCCCCAUCAGGAGCCUCGAACAGUGCGUAAAACCAUUUCCUGUGAGGCAGAGUAGGACCUUGGGUCUGAAUCUUCAAACAUCCCAGGAGCAGCUUUGAAUGAUUGAUAUGCUUUUUCCUGUCAGGCUGUUCAUGAAAAAGCAAGAAGUUGACACCAGACCCACUGAAGUAUUUAAGCUCUUAGGUCUCACUGAGGAGCUAAGUAGGAGUUAUAGGCUUGAUGUCUCGUGAAGCUGCCUCUUAGUUUAGAGGCUGCCAUUUGGAAUGUCCUUAAUGAGCUGGAGAGACAAACUGAGAAGAAUCUCAUUAAACUCAGCAAAGUGAAAUGCAAAGUCACAGCCACUAAUAACCCAGUGUCUCAAUACAAGCUUUGGCCAACUGGCUUGGAGAGGAACUUGACAGGAAAAGUCUUGGGGGUUCUGAUGGACAACCAGUAGACCAUAAGUGAGUAACACACACUUGCAGCAAGAAUGGCUAUCAGGGUUGCCUUAGGAGCAGAAUUUCCAGUGGAUCAAGGGAGGUGAUUUUUCUUCUCUAUUCAGCACAGUGAGAUCUGGGGUACUGAGUCCAGGUCUGGGUUCCCCAUUACAAGAGAGAUAUGGUCAUACAGGAGAGACAGUCCAGUGAAGAUCCAUGAAGAUGAUGAAGGACCUGCAGAAUCUGACACAUAAAGGGUCUGAGAGAGUUGGGACUGUGCAGCCUGGAUAAAGGAGUCCAGCAAUGUGUGUAAAUACCUGAUAAAAAGUGUAAAAAUGAUGGAGCCAGGCUCUGUUCACUAGGGCCCAGUGACAAGACAGAAGGCAACAAACACAAAAUGAAAUGCAGGAAAUUUCAUUUAAAUGCAGGAAAAAAGCUUAUUUUACCAUGAGGAUGUUCAAAUACUGUUUAAGUCUGGAAAUAGCCUGUAUUCAGAUGCCUCACCAUUUCCAGCUGCUGACGAUAAAUGAAUACAAGCAUUUACAAAACCAAAUUAUUACCAAAUAAUUUUCAAAGGAUGAGAAAGCCUGCACAUUUUGGUAUGUCCUGUGCUCUCAGCUGGGCACGCGUAACACCCUCUCAUGGAAUAGUGUUGUUUAUUUUCACCUCUGCAGGGGCAGCCCUGGGAAUGUUUCUAGUCACCCUCUUCCACCCUGUCUGCACUAUGAGUUAAUUUUCAUUUAGUGGGUUCCUGAUAGAUAUAGUCCCACCAGUACCAUGCAGAUAGACGUACCUGUGGCUGAAAUGAUGAGCAGCACACCACAGGCAUGUCCAGGUAGUGGAGAAAGCCAGCAGAACCUCGUGGAGCGUUCUGCACCUGUACCAACGCAAAUGUUGGGAUUGCUUGUUGUAUUAUAUAGUGAGAUGUUCCCCAGAAGCCGGGAUGGUGUUGUAAAAUUCAUUUCAUUUAGUCAUGACCAUCGCGUGUUGCAUUCCUUUGAAACACUGUGCAGGCAAAUUGUUUGGUAAUCUCUAUUUCUUGACUCUUGCCUUGCAGGCUAGAAACUCACUUUUGUAAAAAAGUUACGGAUAAAAUUUUCAAGCAUCUUCUUGAUUAUGUCUCCAGGCCUUCUCAAACAAACAAAACCAGGCAUCACAACUCACAAAAGCUAUCAGAGAAGGAAUUCCAUGUUGUCUUUGAGAGUGACCAAUCAGAAUUUUCCUUCUGUGGCAAAUCCCAACUAGCUUAUAUAUGUAUUCGUUUCCUUACCUUCCAAGUGGUAAAACGCAAGAACCUGUGGGAUUUUUUUCUGCAGUUCCUUGCUAUAUCUUUCGUAUCUGUCCCUCCCUUGUUCUCAAGCUCUUUUGUUUUUGAUGAACUGUUUUUGUGAAAAAGAAAGUGCAAGUUGAGCUCAAUGAAUAAUGAACUGAAUUGCAUAUAUUUUAUUUAAACUUUGGUGGAAAAUUUUCCUUCUAUAAAUUAUGAAAAUAAAAAUGAAUAAUGUAAGGAGAAAAUG